rnacentral:rRNA from 1 species
AGCUAGUUGGUAAGGUAACGGCUUACCAAGGCGAUGAUGCAUAGCCGAGUUGAGAGACUGAUCGGCCACAAUGGAACUGAGACACGGUCCAUACUCCUACGGGAGGCAGCAGUAGGGAAUCUUCCACAAUGGGCGCAAGCCUGAUGGAGCAACACCGCGUGAGUGAAGAAGGGUUUCGGCUCGUAAAGCUCUGUUGUUGGAGAAGAACGUGCGUGAGAGUAACUGUUCAUGCAGUGACGGUAUCCAACCAGAAAGUCACGGCUAACUACGUGCCAGCAGCCGCGGUAAUACGUAGGUGGCAAGCGUUAUCCGGAUUUAUUGGGCGUAAAGCGAGCGCAGGCGGUUGCUUAGGUCUGAUGUGAAAGCCUUCGGCUUAACCGAAGAAGUGCAUCGGAAACCGGGCGACUUGAGUGCAGAAGAGGACAGUGGAACUCCAUGUGUAGCGGUGGAAUGCGUAGAUAUAUGGAAGAACACCAGUGGCGAAGGCGGCUGUCUGGUCUGCAACUGACGCUGAGGCUCGAAAGCAUGGGUAGCGAACAGGAUUAGAUACCCUGGUAGUCCAUGCCGUAAACGAUGAGUGCUAGGUGUUGGAGGGUUUCCGCCCUUCAGUGCC